ensembl:lncRNA novel transcript
GCCUCCCGCCCUCGCGCCCCUCGGGAGGCUGUAGUCCUGCCCCCGGCGCGGCCAGCCCGCGCUCCCGCACACCCCGCCCGCUCGCCCGCGCGUGUGUACGUGCGCCGGAGGCCUGGAGAGACCGGAGUUUAACGCCCAGUCUUUCUUUCAGGGUCCCCCUCCUGGAUGUGGCAGGCCUCCCAGAUUCCCCUGGAAGUUCUGACUUGCCCAUACACACAAGGACCUCAGGAAACCCAAUAGUGACUUUCCUCAGAUCUGUGAAUUCCUUCUUCUGGAAAAUAACCUUCUCAACAAUUGUCUCACAUGGAGUUCCAUCAGUGAGUCCCACCGGGUCUACCUAGAAGCUGUAUCCAGAAUCUGGUCACUGCACAACAUCUCCUCUGCUUCCUCCCUGCUUUGAGGCACCAUUGAAUCUCUCUUGGUUGAAGGCAGUAACCUUCUAACUGGUCUCCGCUUGCAUCCCUUCCCACCUAUGUCUGUUCUCAACAUAGCUGCCAGCGUGAUCACGGCCCUUCUCUACUUAAAAUCCUCCAAAACACUCCAUGUUGCAUAAAGGGCAAGAUGUCUUUAAAAUGCGAAAGAGGCACUUCUGGAGCACUCUCUGCCACAUCUGACCUCAAUUUGUGCCCCUUUCCGUCUUAUUUACUCUGUUCCAGCCACACUGCCCUCCUGGAUUCUGUAAACAUUCCAAGCAUGCUGCCACCUCCAGGCAUUUGCACUGGCUGAUCCCUCUGCUUUGAAUGCUCUUGCUUUACUCCAAUGGCAUCCUCUCAGUGAGGGCUACUCUAUCCACUUUAUAGAAAACCAUGUACCUUCCCUGUACUCUGCUUCCUCCUUACACUGAUUUACUUGCCUUUCAGAGCAUGUGUCUCCUUCUAACAUACUGUACAAUUUAUCUAUGUUUGAUGUCUGUCUCCUAGAAAAAUUUGAGUUCCAUAAGGUCAUAGAUUUUUCUUCUUCUGUUCACACUGCUAUAUCCUCAACGUCUAGAACAAACUCUGAUAUAUAGUAUAUAUCAGAAUAUAUAUAAAUUCUGAUAUAUAGGUAUCCAGUAAUUAUGUGCUGAGUUACUGGGUGAUUGAGUCCAUUAGCAUGAUUCUGUUUGAAAACUGGGUAUACUGGAAGAACCCAGUCAACAACCUCGAACUGAACUGAAUUAGCGUCAGGUUUCCCUGUGGAUGGAAAUGAUCUGCUCUUCCAAGCUGUUUCCUAUGUGUCAUAAUGAGAAAGACUAAUUCCUCUUCCUAACACACACCCACUUCACAGAGGAAUGCUUUGAGACGUAAUUAAAUGGUAACGUGGAGAAAGCAUUUUGAUUUUCUAAGAGAAGCACUUUAUUAAUUUGAGGUUUUAUUGUGCGAAAGAAUUAUAAGUGACACAGGGGCAAGUACAGAGAUGAGAACAAUGUUAAAGGGAUUAUAGUGUUCACAAUACUACAUUGGAAUUGUAUGAGAUAAUUGAGUUAAGAUUGAUAUAAGCAGCAUGGAAUAAAGCAAAAUAGUUUGGGAAAUCUUACCCCAAAUGACAAGUUUUAAAGAAAUAGCUUCUUUUUUGUAAUCAACUCUCAAUUAUUUACAGCACAAUAUCCUCAUUAAUGAAUUAUUCUUCGCUUUUACUAUCCUUUUGUCCAGUUCGUGGCCAUUUUUCUUCUAAUUAGAAAUUCCAUACUAAUGUCAGAGAGUUGAUAAAGAAAAAAGAAGUAAAAAUUAAGAUUUGUCUUCUUCAUGAGUUUAUUCCUCGCUCAUUCCAGUUGACAUGUUUAAAUUCUGAUCUGGAGUAUUUCCAAAAUUACCCAAUUUUAAAAUGUCAUAUUCUUUUUAAUUAACUGGCAAAUUAAUUGAGCACAUUUUCUUUCUUUCUUUCUUUCUUUCUUUCUUUCUUUCUUUCUUUCUUUCUUUCUUUCUUUCUUUCUUUCUUAUUUUUUUUUUUUGAGACAGAGUUUCACUCUUGUUGCCCAGGCUGGAGUGCAAUGGCAUGAUCUUGGCUCAACGCAACCUCUGCCUCCCAGGUUCAAGCAAUUCUCCUGCUUCAGCCUCCUGAGUAGCUGGGAUUACAGGCAUGCGCCACCACGCUGGCUACUUCCGUAUUUUUAGUAGAGAUGGGGGUUUCUCCAUGUUGGUCAGGCUGGCCUCGAACUCCCAACCUCAGGUGAUCCGCCCACCUUGGCCUCCCAAAGUGCUGGGAUUAC